rnacentral:rRNA from 1 species
CCUACGGGUGGCAGCAGUGAGGAAUAUUGGUCAAUGGCCGGAAGGCUGAACCAGCCAUGCCGCGUGAAGGGCAGGGACCUAUGGGCGUUAAACUUCUUUUGUGCGGGAGCAAGAAUGGUCACGUGGGGCCAGACGAGAGUACCGUACGAAUAAGCAGCGGCUAACUCCGGGCCAGCAGCCGCGGUAAUACGGGGGAUGCAAGCGUUAUCCGGAUUUCGUGGGGUUAAAGGGUGCGUAGGCGGGGAGGUAAGUCAGCGGUGAAAUGCCCCCGCUCCACGGGGUGAAGUGCCAUUGAUACGGCCUUGCUGGACUGCGGCUGCCGUGGGCGGAAUGUGUGGUGUAGCGG